rnacentral:rRNA from 1 species
GACGAACGCUGGCGGCGUGCUUAACACAUGCAAGUCGAACGGAAAGGCCCUGCUUUGGUGGGGUGCUCGAGUGGCGAACGGGUGAGUAACACGUGAGUAACCUGCCCUGGACUUUGGGAUAACUUCAGGAAACUGGGGAUAAUACCGGAUAGGAGCUCCUGAUGCAGGGUGGGGGUUGGAAAGUUUCGGCGGUGGGGGAUGGACGCGCGGCUUAUCAGCUUGUUGGUGGGGUAGUGGCUUACCACGGCUUUGACGGGUAGCCGGCCUGGGAGGGUGACCGGCCACAUUGGGACUGAGAUACGGCCCAGACUCCUACGGGAGGCAGCAGGGGGGAAUAUUGCACAGUGGGCGGAAGCGUGAUGCAGAAACGCCGCGUGCGGGAUGACGGCCUUCGGGUUGUAAACCGCUUUCGCCUGUGACGAAGCGUGAGUGACGGUAAUGGGUAAAGAAGCACCGGCUAACUACGUG